CGAACGCUGGCGGCGUGCUUAGCACAUGCAAGUCGAGCGGUAAGGCCCUUUCGGGGGUACACGAGCGGCGAACGGGUGAGUAACACGUGGGUGACCUGCCCUCAGCUCUGGGAUAAGCCUGGGAAACCGGGUCUAAUACUGGAUAUGACUCCAUGACGCAUGUUGUGGGGUGGAAAGCCUUGUGCGGCUGAGGAUGGGCCCGCGGCCUAUCAGCUUGUUGGUGGGGUGANGGCCUACCAAGGCGACGACGGGUAGCCGGCCUGAGAGGGCGACCGGCCACACUGGGACUGAGACACGGCCCAGACUCCUACGUGAGGCAGCAGUGGGGAAUCUUGCGCAAUGGGCGAAAGCCUGACGCAGCGACGCCGCGUGAGGGAUGACGGCCU
rnacentral:rRNA from 1 species